UUAGUACUCCCUCCGUUCGGAAUUACUUGUCUCGGAAAUGGAUGCAUCUAGACGUAUUUUAGUUCUAAAUACAUCCAUUUUUGAGACAAGUAAUUCCGAACGGAGGGAGUAGAAG
rnacentral:pre_miRNA from 1 species